GAUGAACGCUGGCGGCGUGCCUAAUACAUGCAAGUCGAGCGAACAGACGAGGAGCUUGCUCCUCUGACGUUAGCGGCGGACGGGUGAGUAACACGUGGAUAACCUACCUAUAAUACUGGGAUAACUUCGGGAAACCGGAGCUAAUACCGGAUAAUAUAUUGAACCGCAUGGUUCAAUAGUGAAAGACGGUUUUGCUGUCACUUCUAGCUGGAUCCGCGCCGCAUUAGCUAGUUGGUAAGGUAACGGCUUACCAAGGCAACGAUGCGUAGCCGACCUGAGAGGGUGAUCGGCCACAUGGGAACUGAGACACGGACCAGACUCCUACGGGAGGCAGCAGUAGGGAAUCUUCCGCAAUGGGCGAAAGCUUGACGGAGCAACGCCGCGUGAGUGAUGAAGGUCUUCGGAUCGUAAAACUCUGUUAUUAGGGAAGAACAAAUGUGUAAGUAACUAUGCACGUCUUGACGGUACCUAAUCAGAAAGCCACGGCUAACUACGUG
rnacentral:rRNA from 1 species